ACGGAGGGUCCAAGCGUUAUCCGGAUUUAUUGGGUUUAAAGGGUGCGUAGGCGGGCUUUUAAGUCAGUGGUGAAAGGUUGACGCUCAACGUUAACAUUGCCAUUGAAACUGAAGGUCUUGAGUACAAAUGAGGUAGGCGGAAUGUGUUGUGUAGCGGUGAAAUGCUUAGAUAUGACACAGAACACCAAUUGCGAAGGCAGCUUACUGGAAUGUAACUGACGCUGAGGCACGAAAGCGUGGGGAUCAAACAG
rnacentral:rRNA from 1 species